AGCGCGCAGUUUACUGCGAGCGGCAGACGGGUGAGUAACGCGUGGGAAUCUACCUUAAGCUACGGGAUAACAGAGAGAAAUUUCUGCUAAUACCGUAUGUGCCCUUUUGGGGAAAGAUUUAUCGGCUUAAGAUGAGCCCCGCGUUGGAUUAGCUAGUUGGUGAGGUAAAGGCUCACCAAGGCGACGAUCCAUAGCUGGUCUGAGAGGAUGAUCAGCCACACUGGGACUGAGACACGGCCCAG
rnacentral:rRNA from 1 species